GAUGAACGCUGGCGGCGUGCUUAACACAUGCAAGUCGAACGGAAAGGCCCAAGCUUGCUUGGGUACUCGAGUGGCGAACGGGUGAGUAACACGUGGGUGAUCUGCCCUGCACUUCGGGAUAAGCCUGGGAAACUGGGUCUAAUACCGGAUAGGACCACUUCUUGGAUGUUGUGGUGGAAAGUUUUUUCGGUGUGGGAUGAGCUCGCGGCCUAUCAGCUUGUUGGUGGGGUAAUGGCCUACCAAGGCGUCGACGGGUAGCCGGCCUGAGAGGGUGUACGGCCACAUUGGGACUGAGAGACGGCCCAGACGCCGACGGGAGGCAGCAGUGGGGAAGAUUGCACAAUGGGCGCAAGCCUGAUGCAGCGACGCCGCGGGGGGGAUGACGGCCUUCGGGUUGUAAACUCCUUUCGCUAGGGACGAAGCGUUUUGUGACGGUACCUGGAGAAGAAGCACCGGCUAACUACGUG
rnacentral:rRNA from 1 species